rnacentral:lncRNA from 1 species
UUGGACGGAAAGAAACAGACAAAGAAAUGAAAAGAGUAGGAUGCUCUAUUAUUGGUGUAUAAAUUUUGAGAGUUGGAAAAGUAAGAAGAAGAAGAAAAAAGUGAUUUUGAAGAAGAAGAAGAAAAAAGUGAUUUUGAAGAAGAAGAAAAAAGUGAUUUUGAAGAAGAAGAAGAAAAAAGUGAUUUUGAAGAAGAAGAAAAAAGUGAUUUUGAAGGAGAGGGAAAAGAGAUGGAGGAGCAAAUAGACCCAAGGAGUGGCUUCUGCCCCUCCAACUCAGUUUUCUACAGCAAGCGGAAGCCACUCCCACUCUCUCCCAACAACGCCCUCGACGUCACCACCUUCAUCUCCUCCCGAGCCCACCGCGGAACCACCGCCUUCAUCGACGCCGCCACAGGCCGCCACCUCAGCUACAGCCAGCUAUGGCGAG